rnacentral:rRNA from 1 species
ACGGAAGGCAGCAGUGAGGAAUAUUGGUCAAUGGAGGCAACUCCGAACCAGCCAUCUCGCGUGAAGGAAUACGGCCCUAUGGGUCUUAAACUUCUUUUAUAGGGGGAUAAAGUGAGGCAUGUAUGCCUUUUUGUAGGUACCCUAUGAAUAAGCAUCGGCUAACUCCGUGCCAGCAGCCGCGGUAAUACGGAGGAUGCGAGCGUUAUCCGGAUUUAUUGGGUUUAAAGGGUGCGCAGGCGGCACGUUAAGUCAGCGGUGAAAUGUCGGGGCUCAACCCGGGCACUGCCGUUGAAACUGGCGAGCUUGAGUACGGAUGAAGUUGGCGGAAUGUGAUGUGUAGCGGUGAAAUGCUUAGAUAUGUCACAGAACACCGAUUGCGAAGGCAGCUGACUAAUCCGCAACUGACGCUCAGGCACGAAAGCGUGGGGAUCGAACAGGAUUAGAUACCCUGGUA